CCUAGCUCAGUUGGUAGAGCAACUGAUUCGUAAUCAGUAGGUCGCCGGUUCGAUUCCGGCGG
rnacentral:tRNA from 1 species